GGGCGGUUAGCUCAGCGGUAGAGCAUUGCCUUCACACGGCAGGGGUCACUGGUUCGAUCCCAGUAUCGCCCACCA
rnacentral:tRNA from 2 species